rnacentral:snoRNA from 1 species
GUGAUGAACAUGGGAACGACGGAUUUAUGAAGAGGGCUUGAUUAUCUGA